AGUUAUACCGUGAAACUGCGAAUGGCUCAUUAAAUCAGUUAUUGUUUAUUUGAUAGUACCUUACUACUUGGAUAACCGUGGUAAUUCUAGAGCUAAUACAUGCUAAAAGCCCCGACUUCGGAAGGGGUGUAUUUAUUAGAUAAAAAACCAAUGCCCUUUGGGGCUCCUUGGUGAUUCACAAUAACUUAACGAAUCGCAUGGCCUUGUGCCGGCGAUGGUUCAUUCAAAUUUCUGCCCUAUCAACUUUCGAUGGUAGUGUAUUGGACUACCAUGGUUUCAACGGGUAACGGGGAAUUAGGGUUCUAUUCCGGAGAGGGAGCCUGAGAAACGGCUACCACAUCCAAGGAAGGCAGCAGGCGCGCAAAUUACCCAAUCCCGACACGGGGAGGUAGUGACAAUAAAUACUGAUACAGGGCUCUUUUGGGUCUUGUAAUUGGAAUGAGUACAAUUUAAAUCCCUUAACGAGGAACAAUUGGAGGGCAAGUCUGGUGCCAGCAGCCGCGGUAAUUCCAGCUCCAAUAGCGUAUAUUAAAGUUGUUGCAGUUAAAAAGCUCGUAGUUGAACCUUGGGCCUGGCUGGCCGGUCCGCCUCAUCGCGUGCACUGGUCCGGCCGGGCCUUUCCUCCUGGAGAGCCGCAUGCCCUUCGCUGGGUGUGUCGGGGAACCAGGACUUUUACUUUGAAAAAAUUAGAGUGUUCAAAGCAGGCCUAUGCUCGAAUACAUUAGCAUGGAAUAAUAGAAUAGGACGUGUGGUUCUAUUUUGUUGGUUUCUAGGACCGCCGUAAUGAUUAAUAGGGAUAGUCGGGGGCAUCAGUAUUCAAUUGUCAGAGGUGAAAUUCUUGGAUUUAUUGAAGACUAACUACUGCGAAAGCAUUUGCCAAGGAUGUUUUCAUUAAUCAAGAACGAAAGUUAGGGGAUCGAAGACGAUCAGAUACCGUCGUAGUCUUAACCAUAAACUAUGCCGACUAGGGAUCGGGCGAUGUUAUUUUUUGACUCGCUCGGCACCUUACGAGAAAUCAAAGUCU
rnacentral:rRNA from 1 species